rnacentral:rRNA from 1 species
UACGUAGGUGACAAGCGUUAUCCGGAAUUACUGGGUGUAAAGGGAGCGUAGGCGGGCAAGCAGGUUGGAUGUUUAACCUAUGGGCUCAACCCAUAGUCGCAUUCAAAACCGUUUGUCUUGAGUGAAGUAGAGGCAAGUGGAAUUCCUAGUGUAGCGGUGGAAUGCGUAGAUAUUAGGAGGAACACCAGUGGCGAAGGCGGCUUGCUGGGCUUUAACUGACGCUGAGGCUCGAAAGCGUGGGGAGCAAACAGG